rnacentral:lncRNA from 1 species
UAGUGAUAUCAUCAAUGGAUGGGGCGUGAUGGCCGAUGAGUGGGAAUUCCGUGUACGGGUAACGGUUUUCUAUCGGCCUGCCACUCCGGCUGCGUUUUGGGGGAAGUAGACUCCCGGACUGUAAAAGAAAGCAGGAGUUAGUGGCAAAUUUGUAGCAUAAGAAGGAAAAUAACAUCAAAAUAGGCUGAAGGAAAAGCAGUACCUCUGCACUUGGGUCGAUGUUCUCAGGAUCCAGGUCAUUGCAAUAUGUCGCGGGAGAUGCACAAAAUAGAU